GACGAACGCUGGCGGCGUGCUUAACACAUGCAAGUCGAACGGAAAGGCCCUGCUUUUGUGGGGUGCUCGAGUGGCGAACGGGUGAGUAACACGUGAGUAACCUGCCCUUGACUUUGGGAUAACUUCAGGAAACUGGGGCUAAUACCGGAUAGGAGCUCCUGCUGCAUGGUGGGGGUUGGAAAGUUUCGGCGGUUGGGGAUGGACGCGCGGCUUAUCAGCUUGUUGGUGGGGUAGUGGCUUACCAAGGCUUUGACGGGUAGCCGGCCUGAGAGGGUGACCGGGCACAUUGGGACUGCGAUACGGACCAGACUCCAACGGGAGACAGAGGUGGGGAAUAUUACACAGUGGGCGGAAGCCUGAUGCAGCAACGCCGCGUGCGGGAUGACGGCCUUCGGGUUGUAAACCGCUUUCGCCUGUGACGAAGCGUGAGUGACGGUAAUGGGUAAAGAAGCACCGGCUAACUACGUG
rnacentral:rRNA from 1 species